GGAGGAGUCGGAUAGUGGUUUAUUCCAGCGCACUUGAAAUGCGCCGUCCCCGCAAGGGGACCGUGAGUUCGAAUCUCACCUCCUCCG
rnacentral:tRNA from 1 species